AUCAAACACUUCAAUGAUGAGCACAAUUCAAUCACACAAACACAGGUUAACAAUUUUGAGAAAAUGUAUUAAGAGAUAUGCAAAAAGAAAACACACUCACAUCCUUUUUUUUAUGGAAGAGAGAAAAAAAUAAAAAGGACCCCGGUAUUGAUACUAUGUUCUUAAGUCUCAAACUGUCUAACUUUGAGUGCACUCUUAGUUUAGUUUUGUUGGCGCGCUUUAAUUGGAGUUCACGAUGGAAAACUUUUGAUAACAGUACCUCCGUAAGUCUGUGAAGUCAGCAGGAUCAAGCUGCAGCUGAUGAAUCGCUCCCCGCCAGCGGUGGUGACCAUUUCUGCCCGCGGCAGCUCGCAGUGAUACACCUCCGUCUUCCUCGGCAGCAGCGACACUCUCCGUGGUGACCCGCCAAAGCUCCUCCCGUCAGCGCAGGCCUCCUCUCGACAAUGACCGUGCCGUUAGCCUAGCUCAUGCUAGCCGGCUCAGCCAAACUUGCUUCGUGUCCUAUAAAACACAAACGCUUCGACUGCGAUGGAGAGUCCAACUCACGCACUCACACACUCACAGCACGUCGAACAACAACAGUUCACAGUCCGGUUCUGUCCACUGUUAGCUGCUUUUAAACAGAAGUUAUUUAUGCAUUUUAAUAUCUUAUUUAUUAUUUGUGCAAAUUUUAACUAUUACACAUGCAUCUGCCUUUAGUUUAUCACACAAGCUAUCGUGUCAUACACUCCUCUAACACAUUUUCACAAGGUCCUAAUGUGCUGCCCACUUACCUCAGGCUGUCAAUUGAUUUGAACUGUUCAUAUCAGCCAGUCAGAUCCAUCCAAUCACAGUGACACAUGGUCACUGUUAGCCUAUCAUCUUGCUUUUUAAGUUAAUUCAUGCUGUGGUGUUUGUGUGCACUCGUCCAUGCAUUAUUUACGCUGUCAUUUCAGUACAAAUCACUACAAACAUCAAAUAUUUGCCUUUUUUCAGCUUUUUGCAUGCCACAAGCAGAUGUCUGGCUAUGCAGCCUAGAGGAUAAACGUCUGCUCUCCACCCACUCUCUCAUCGUGCGCUCACACACAGCUGUCCCAGGUCACUUUGCUUUGGUCAGCAACCUGAUUGCCUCCACGCACUUGCUGGCUUAUUCCAUCCAAGCCGUCCACAUCCGCCUUCAGUUGAUACCAUCACAAGAAUAAUGGCAGGCAGGACAAUGAAGAGACUGUGUAUGAAUCUGGAGGCACUGAAGAUUCUAACAAAAGACAGCAGGGCCAGGGUUGAUCCGGUCGAUUCGGACUGCAGCAGUGAUUCAGAUUUUCAAAUUCCAUAGCUAGAAAGUGAUGAACCAAUGAUGACAAAUGAUGGCCGCUGAGUACACCUUCAACAGCAUCUGCUCUCACCUCUCAUCCACAGAGAGGGCCAUGGACGUCUGCCCCAUCCCCUCAUCCAACAGCCAUUCCUCUCGUGAAACCUCUGGACCCCGUCCUCAGCCACAGCAAACCCAUUCCACUCGACAAGUUUCUGCUCGUCCUCUCCACUCAGCUGUCUUUUUCAUCUGAUUCAGAGUCUGAGGAAAGGCAGCCCGAAAGAAAAGAGGAAGCAGCUCAAACAUGUGCAAAGUGUGGUCAAGUUAGGCCUUCAAGAGUAACAGAGACAGGAACAAAAACAGGGAGGAGGAAGACAGAAGAUCGAGCCCAAACACUAGACUCAAACUCAUGCUAGCCAGGGUCCCUGGCACCCCCGUUUAACACCAGCACCCCUUUCUCUUUUCCAGCUCUGAUCUAGCACUUCUGAGCAAUCAUAAUUAAACUCUCUGAGCUGUAACAUCCUGAGCUGUCUCCUGAACAUACACACCAAGUUUUGUCCAAAUCCAAUGAAAGGGGAGCAAAUGACAGAACUGAGUGUGCAAUUAAACUUCUCAAA